CUAGGGGAAAUGAAUUUAUUAGGUUCCUAGAUUAUAUUUAGGAAUAUAUACUUGAUUUAAGAUCUGAAGACCAUAUGGUUGAAUCAUCUGGAUCUUAAGAUAAAAAAUGCAGAGAUCGCUUGAUCAACAACAGUGGGAUGCCCUUGCUAAACAUGAAGCCCAGGAAAAUCGGAAACGGGCGCAUCAGCAUGGAAUAGGAAUAUGUAACGUCUUUCUAUUGGAUACAUCAGCCAGCAUGGGAGGGGAAGGCUUCCAUCAACUUAAGAGGGCUUUUACAGACAUUAUUAAUGGUUAAAACAAUUACUUCAAGACAAAUGUCAUAUUUUGUAUAUGCAUAUUACUAUUAUUAAACACUAAUUUAACAUUUAUGCUAGAGAACACAUACAAAUAUUCAAUAGACAAAUGCAUUUACAA